CGUCGACGGAGAUGACGGAUACAUCGCUGAGGUCACCUACUCCGGUGAGGCUCAGUUCCCCGACUCCGACGAAUCCUUCGAGUCCCGUGAGGCUCCCAGGAGGUACUAUGCCGCCCCCGACUCCAACGAGUCCAAGUAAAUCUGGAAACGUGAUCAUUAUUGGUCGACCGAAACCGAACGAAACGAUUUUAGUAAUGUCUCGAUAUUUAUACAUAUCUAAUUUAUUCGAAUAAAUCAUAAGCGUCAUUUA